rnacentral:tRNA from 1 species
GGGGUUGUAGCUCAGUGGUGAGCGCUUGCCUUGCAAGCAUGAGGCACUGGGUUCCAUCCUCCAGCACCA